AUGAACGCUGGCGGCGUGCCUAAUACAUGCAAGUCGAGCGAACAGAUGAGGAGCUUGCUCCUCUGACGUUAGCGGCGGACGGGUGAGUAACACGUGGAUAACCUACCUAUAAGACUGGGAUAACUUCGGGAAACCGGAGCUAAUACCGGAUAAUAUAUUGAACCGCAUGGUUCAAUAGUGAAAGACGGUUUUGCUGUCACUUAUAGAUGGAUCCGCGCCGCAUUAGCUAGUUGGUAAGGUAACGGCUUACCAAGGCAACGAUGCGUAGCCGACCUGAGAGGGUGAUCGGCCACACUGGAACUGAGACGCGGUCCAGACUCCUACGGGAGGCAGCAGUAGGGAAUCUUCCGCAAUGGGCGAAAGCCUGACGGAGCAACGCCGCGUGAGUGAUGAAGGUCUUCGGAUCGUAAAACUCUGUUAUUAGGGAAGAACAAAUGUGUAAGUAACUAUGCACGUCUUGACGGUACCUAAUCAGAAAGCCACGGCUAACUACGUG
rnacentral:rRNA from 1 species